rnacentral:rRNA from 1 species
UAAUACGGAGGGUGCAAGCGUUGUUCGGAAUUACUGGGCGUAAAGGGCGUGCAGGCGGGUUGGUAAGUCAGAUGUGAAAGCCCUGGGCUUAACCCAGGAAGUGCAUUUGAAACUGCCAUCCUAGAGUAUGGGAGAGGAGAGUGGAAUUCCCAAUGUAGAGGUGAAAUUCGUAGAUAUUGGGAGGAACACCCGUGGCGAAGGCAACUCUCUGGACCAAUACUGACGCUGAGACGCGAAAGCGUGGGGAGCAAACAGGAUUAGAUACCCUGGUAGUCCACGCUGUAAACGAUGAGAACUAGGUGUAGCGGGUAUUGACCCCUGCUGUGCCGAAGUUAACGCAUUAAGUUCUCCGCCUGGGGAGUACGGCCGCAAGGCUA